GACGAACCGAGCGAACGUUAUUCGGAAUCACUUGGGCUUAAAGGGCGCGUAGGCGGGCGAUCAAGUCAGGGGUGAAAGCCCCCAGCUCAACUGGGGAAGUGCCUCUGAUACUGGUCGUCUCGAGCGAGGUAGGGGCGUGCGGAACUUCCGGUGGAGCGGUGAAAUGCGUAGAUAUCGGAAGGAACAUCGGUGGCGAAAGCGGCGCGCUGGACCUCUUCUGACGCUGAGGCGCGAAAGCCAGGGGAGCGAACGGG
rnacentral:rRNA from 1 species